rnacentral:rRNA from 1 species
AUUGAACGCUGGCGGCAUGCCUUACACAUGCAAGUCGAACGGCAGCACGGGAGCAAUCCUGGUGGCGAGUGGCGAACGGGUGAGUAAUAUAUCGGAACGUGCCCAGUCGUGGGGGAUAACGUAGCGAAAGCUACGCUAAUACCGCAUACGAUCUAUGGAUGAAAGCGGGGGAUCGCAAGACCUCGCGCGAUUGGAGCGGCCGAUAUCAGAUUAGGUAGUUGGUGAGGUAAAGGCUCACCAAGCCGACGAUCUGUAGCUGGUCUGAGAGGACGACCAGCCACACUGGGACUGAGACACGGCCCAGACUCCUACGGGAGGCAGCAGUGGGGAAUUUUUGGACAAUGGGCGCAAGCCUGAUCCAGCAAUGCCGCGUGCAGGAUGAAGGCCUUCGGUUGUAACGUGACUUUUGUUACGGUAACGGAAACGGUA